rnacentral:tRNA from 2 species
GUAAGCAUAGUUUAGCCAAAACAUUAGAUUGUGAUUCUAAAAACAGGAGUUUAAACCCCCUUGCUCACC